CCCGGGCCUUGUACACACCGCCCGUCACACCAUGGGAGUGGGUUGUACCAGAAGCAGGUAGUUUAACCGCAAGGGGGACGCCUACCACGGUAUGGUUCAUGACUGGGGUG
rnacentral:rRNA from 1 species